UUUGUGCGUCUGGGGUUGCUGCGGGGAGAAGGUUCUCCCUUCCAUUGCGCCUUCCCCCUCGCUAGCUUCCCGGACCACCCUCCCUUCUCGCCCUUGUGCGGGAGCGCAGCUCGCGCGCUGGGCUGCAGUUCCCAGAAGGGACGGUGGGGGUGGAGGGCAGAGUCCCUUCUCCAAGAUUUCCCUGCCCGGGGGCUGUCACUGGGCCGCUUCCCUUUGCCAACCCCUCCCGCAGCCCAUUACUCCCCAGUUUGUACGAUGAGCCGGGACUGCCCUUUCUAGAAAAAUACCUCACCCCACCUCCACCUCCCUGGCCCUCCUGGGCGGGUUUAUGCUGCUUGCUCUCUCUUCGCCCCAACAUUUCUCGGGUAAGCUUGUUUGGGUCAGUGCCAACCUGCAAAGCAUGCCUGGGGUCAGGGGGACACUUCCCAAGCUCUAGAUUUUAAAAUGCGUUCGCAUUGACCUUUAUCUCUACCCUGCCAUCCCCUGCCUUAGCGACUUCUCUUUGGGGACCAGGCUCACACUUCCGGAAUAGGUGAUCUGGAACGCGUUUCAAUUCCCUGGAGCCUUAGGGAGGGACUUGGGCUUUCUCUUCUCCAUUCCACAAAUAAUCAACUCCCGCCCAGCCUGCCUUCUUUUCCCUAAUAGCUGCUGCAGAACGUAGGCCAGGCUGGCGGAAACGUCAAGGAACCCCACUUUUCCACCCAGGGGCCAGCGGGACCGCCGGGGCUACAAAGUGUGCUGUGGGGAAAUUAGGAAGUUGGCUCUCUUCCCUGACCCCCUCCCUCCUCUUCCCACCAGGAAGGGAACAGGCUGCAUUCGUGUUCUGAAAGCAAGCGCUGCAGAGCCUUUCCACCUCCUUAGGUCCCAAGGAAAAGCUGAGCCUCUCUUCCAUCGAUAACGAGGGAGGGAGGGGCUCAAUGACACAGAGGAAGGAAAUGUUUCAUAAUGCUUCCACAGGCGGAAAACCAGGGGACAAUGGUGAGAACGGCCGCCGCAGUCCCGGGGCAGACCCGUGUCCCUCUCGCGCGCGCUCCCACUUCCUCGCCCGGUGUCCUGUCUGGCCGUCCCUGCCCCUCGAUUUUCACCAAGUUUUGUGUCAGCUCCUUCCUCACUCCUCCCCAGACCUUCCCAAUUUCAUUCUACCCCAGCCAGAAGCGCCCCCCACCCCCCAGUCCUCCAACACACCCCUCUUCCAACUUUUGCUUUCAGAAUUCUUUCCAACUUCCUCUACUCUCCGAGUUCUAGAUUGCCUGCUGGAAAAAAAAAAAAAGCAAACACAAACACAAAAACCCUGCUUGCCACUCUUUAGGAAAGAUCACAUGAGAAAGAAAGGCAAGGAGAAGCAGAAACACUUCCCUCUUAGAGGGUAAUAACCGAUGGCCCUAAACCCUUAGGAAUGUUUGCAUUCUGGAAUGUAAUUUUCCUUUCCUAAGGUCAGGGUCAUAGUUACAUGCUGAAUGGUCAACUCAAGAAUUACAUGUUUUAUUAGCAGCUUAAAGUAUGUCAAUGGCCAAUUUCCACCCUGUCUUUGCUCUUCUGUUUUCCCACCAGCUGACAAUGUGACAGUGUUUUCUGCCUGCUUCCUUUCACCCAGCCUCCCUUCCCAGCCCUCUCUCGCUCCAUCCCAUUUCUCCUUCAAAGUUAGUGUCCACCUAUACCCAUGAGCGGCCUCAUUCGUUUCUACUUUGUGUAGCCUGACUUUCUGUUCACCUUGGAACUAAGCAAUUCACUUCACUCUGCUUCAGGGCGUCAUUUCCCAUUCAAACAUCCCUACUCCCCGGUUUGGGGUUUGGUGUCUAGACUUUCUUCCUCUUCUCCUUCUUCUCUUUCUUCUUCUCCUACAUUUCCCUCCCCUGUUCCAGUAGUUUUUAAAUGUGCCCUCUUUUAAUGAUUUCAAUUCACUUGUUCUUUCAUUCUAGGCAGAAGAAAGGUAAGAUACUUGAGAGAACAUUUGAGGAAAAGUCAUUUUACCCUUGCGAGAUAUUGACUAUGGAAUCACGAAAACAUGAUGGCAAAGCCAUGUGGAACUUUGCCUCCGAGAGGUUAAGUGACUGGCCUUACAUUGUAGCCAACUGAGGACCUAGAAAUAACUCUGGCUCAUAAUUUUUCAUCAAAUGCCUUUUGGAAUUGUAACUAACUAGUUGCUCUGGUAGGUAAGUAUGCUGUCAGAUCCGCGAUUACUGUUGUUUCCAAUGAUUAAAUUUUAACCAUUCUAACUAGGAAUUUUCUGGCAAUAAAAAAUGUCCACCUUAA